ensembl:snRNA U1 U1 spliceosomal RNA
AUACUUACCUGGCAGGGGAGAUACCAUGAUCAUGAAAGUGGUUUUCCCAGGGUGAGGCUCAUCCAUUGCACUUUGGGUGUGCUGAUCCCUGUGAUUUCCCCAAAUGUGAGAAAAUCAACUGCAUAAUUUGUAGUAGUGGGGGACUGUGUUUGUGCUUUCUCCUG